GGCAGCUCUGUGGGCUGGCCAGGUGGAGUUGAGAGCCGCCAGAUGAAACAGAGUACAGAGGAAGGAAUGACUCCGGGUCACCGGAAGUAAUACUCGGGGUCACCGGAAGUAAUACUCAGGGACACCGACAGGAAAGUAGAGUCUAGAACAGAUUGGUGUAAAUAUAAAGGCUGUGUGUGUCUUCCAUCCGGGAGUGAACGGUCAAAGGCAGGGCAGGAACCUCGGCCUGGAUUUAAUAAUUCUACAACGGACAAUGUCUAUAAGACAAUGUGACAGAUGACAAGCGCUGCAAAAGCUGUGGACUAAGUUGCUAAGAAUGACUACGCCACCAGAAAGGACCCGCCUGCACUAUCAGGAAAUCAGGGAAACAUCCUAAAUAAGAAUGAGUACCCUGCACCGAUUAGACCUUACUAAUAUUUUAGUACUGUUAGUCCUGUUUAAUUGGAAAUCAUUCUAGUUCUUCAACUGGCUCGCCAUAGUGAGUAACAACAUGACUGCCUUAUUCAAUUCACAAACUUCAGUUCAAUCUCAACCUCUCGGCACAAGGGCUGUCUUAGGAGAGUUUGCACAUUUAAAAGUCAAAACAUCAUGGAUUUAAUUAGCAAGUGUUUACUUAGAAAAAAUUCUACCUUCCCCUCGUCCAUGGGAUUAUCACUUAUAUGGACAACAGGUCCUGGGUGAGAUUUAGAUGACCUGAAAAAAAAAUGAGAUUUCUUUACUCAAGUAAAGUUUCAAUAUUCAUUACAAUAAAAAAAGAGAUUCAUUUAUGAAGAAAAUAGUCCAGUCAGUUGUCAGAGAAAACAUAGUGAAAAUCAUAUGGAUAUAAGACAGCAAGCUUUAUAAUUGCCUUAUAAUUUCUCUUUAUUAUAUUUUCAAUUUAGUUGAAACACUUAUUUUAACAUAGAAGAUCCCCUUUAGAUGUGACGUCAAUAUUUUAAAGCAAUGUGGUGUUAAUGCAAGGUAUCAGCUGGGGUAGCCCGCCCACCUCUACAGCUCAAACUGGAAGAAGAAAAACCGUUCCUUUUAUUUUAUUUUGAAAACAUGCAAAUUAAUGCUAUCUAUUCCUGUACUAGAGAAUAAAAGAAAGUAUAGGUAAAAAAUAUUACUGGAAUGGUGCCCAAACAUUUGGGAAAAAAACCAUAGCUGAAUGCUGAAGGGCUGGGAAAGGGUGCCACUUCAGACCUGUGAAGACUAUACCACCUCCAUCCACCAGAUGUCAUGAUCAACUCUAAGACCGGACUGAACCUCUGCCCCCCACACAGCCCCCAGCUUCCAAGAAAGGGUAGAGACAUCCUUGCCCCAGAAAGGAAAACUAGCUUUCAGCCCACCACAUCUGAGAACCAGGUAGCACACACAUGAUGAAAUCUACCGAAGACAAGCUUGGCUCAGGCCCUCAAGUGAUGCCAACAGGACAUUUGAGAGUGGCUGGCUAGAUCACCUGAAAGCUGGGGACAAGGGGAAGCCCUCCUGCCUCACCACACUGUGCUGCUGGCCCAGAGAAACAUGAGCAAAGAGGACACUGGGCACUGUUGCUACUUACGCCUGAGGAUGGCUUCUCAUCCAGCAGUACACAACCGAGCUACUACCAUCAAACCAAAAUAACUUUAGCUGAAAAUGAAGAUGGCAUAAAAGUCAAACAGGAAAAUGAAUUCCCUUUAAAAAUGUUAUUGAGUCUCGGCGAGUUUCAUAUCACAUACCCUACUCAUUGCCUUGUCACUCAGCCUUUGCGACCUCCCCCCAAAUAAUAAUUAAAAAAUAAAACAAAACAUAAAA